rnacentral:rRNA from 1 species
CUACGGGCGGCACCAGUGAGGAAUAUUGCACAAUGGGGGGAACCCUGAUGCAGCAACGCCGCGUGGAGGAUGACGCAUUUCGGUGGGGAAACUCCUUGUAUAUGUCAAGAAAAUGACGGUAGCAUAUGAAUAAGCACCGGCUAACUCCGUGCCAGCAGCCGCGGUAAUACGGAGGGUGCAAGCGUUACUCGGAAUCACUGGGCGUAAAGGACGCGUAGGCGGGUUGGAAAGUCAGGUGUGAAAUCCUACAGCUUAACUGUAGAACUGCACUUGAAACUUCUAAUCUAGAGUAUGGGAGGGGGAGAUGGAAUUAGUGGUGUAGGGGUAAAAUCCGUAGAUAUCACUAGGAAUACCUAAAGCGAAGGCGAUCUCCUGGAACAUUACUGACGCUAAGGCGUGAAAGCGUGGGGAGCAAACAGGAUUAGAUACCCCGUAGUC